GUCAGCGUUCCAGCAUACGCUUGCAUGUCAAGUGUCCAUUACCGCUUGACUUGAGUGUUUCCUUUGCCUGUCAACAUAAACAAAGUCCUGUGUCUGUGUAACAGAAUUAUUAUGGAUAUGUGUGAUUCCACUUGUUCACAUUAGAAGGCACAAUAGCACCCCCAACUCAUGCGGUGACUACAAAUAUCUGGGCGCGCCGCAGAUGGCGCCAGUUGUAAUUCGUCAUCAGCAAAGCAUGUUGUGGCGAGGCCUGUGAGAGUGACCAGCUUGCAUCGUGUGCAUGUGUUGUGCAGACAAUAAAAAGUCGAAACCAUCCACGUCUCCUGGAACUACAGUGGGGAGAACAAGUAUUUGAUACACUGCCAAUGGGUUUUCCCAUUGACUGUGUAUCAAAUACUUGUUCAACACAACGCAGAGUCCGGGAGUUUGACGCUCCAAAUCGCAGCAGACAAAGAAAAAGGUUACACUGGUGCCAUGACCCACAUUGGAGGCCAAGGUUUCGGGGAGACUGAAUGGCAAGGCGCCUGCUGUGCACCAUUUGCUCACAAGUUGUUGAUGAUGCUGCCCGAGGAGAGUGAGAUGGCGCUGGAAAGAACGCACGCCCCGAGCGCUCAAGACGAGCCGUACUCCUCGUCAUCUGCUUCAAAGAAUCGAGGCGCUGCAGCGGAAACGCGCUGCGCGUCCCUCAAUUGCCUGAAGAGAUCGUCGGUCCAUCUGUGUUAAAGGCUGUGCACUGAAGGCUGUAGGAUACUUUGUAUCCCAAAAAGUAAUCCAUAUAUUGUUUUUAAAAAGUGUCACUGUUUCAAAAGAAAAUAAACCGACAGCUUGCUACCGAAAUUUCCACUAGAAUAGUGUCUAUGGCUAGGUUCAGACCGUAGGUCUUAAUGCACGAAUUCGAUUUUUUUUGUGUGUGCGUGUGUUUUUCACACUCGAGUGAGGCAUUAAGUUGACAAUUGCAUAGAAGUGGACCAUUUUAAAUGCUAUCUGGGUCAUUUUCGUAGUAUGUGGUUUAAAUCCGAUCUGGGCCACAUUUUUCCAGAAUGUGGCGGCGGUCUGAACUGUCAAGUCUCCCAAAUCGGAAUUCAUGCAGCAAUGACGUCAGCAAAGAGCGAGAGCGGCAGGCAGGAUGGCAGCGAUGUAGCCCCUGCUUUCUCCACCCCAUCUGAGAGGGUGGUCUCCACUGCUGGAGACACCCAUAAGUUCAUCAUUGGAAAGAUCACGUAUCUUUCCUGAAAAAGCAGACAUGCUUCUUUUUCUGCAAAACAAUUGUUAAUUUUGCACAUUUGCACUGUUCUGUUGGAUUUGACAGUAUUUAUUUAUUUUAGGGGCUGUCAAACAUGCCGACUCCUCCACCCCCCUCAAAGACGAGGCAUAUUAGAAUUUUUUUGCGGCCAGCCACAGCAGCAGCUGUAAGUAGACGUCAAUGUUGUGGAGGUGGGGAACGCGCCACUAAUUUUGCUACUGAAAGUCCGACCUGCAUCACAGUUAGCAUAACAUUAAACUGUGUGAACUUACUAACCUGCAAAACUGGAGUAGGAAGCAGCUUAGAGAUAAUUUUCCUCCUGUACUGUAUGUCUUUUCUACCGUUAACAUUAAUUCAACUGUGCAUUUAUUAAUCAAAACUAGGGCUGUCAAACAAUUAAAAUUUUUAAUCGAGUUAAUUACAACUUAAAAAUUAAUUAAUCGUAAUUAAUCGCAAUUCAAACCAUCGAUAAAAUAUGCCAUAAUUUUCUUUAAAUUAUUGUUGGAAUGGAAAGAUAAGACACAAGACUAACAUAUACAUUCAACACACGGUACAAAAGUACUGUAUUUGCUUAUUAUAACAAUAAAUCAACAAGAUGGCAUUAACAUUAUUAACAUUCACUUAAAGCGAUCCAUGGAUAGAAAGACUUGUAGUUCUUAAAAGAUAAAUGUUAGUAGAAGUUAUAGAAAUUUUAUAUUAAAACCCCUCCUAAUGUUUUUGUGUUAUUCAAAUUUGUAAAAAUUUCAAUCAAAAAAUAAACUAGUAGCUCGCCAUUGUUGAUGUCAAUAAUUACACCAUGCUCACUCAUGGUACUAACCCAUAAAAUCAGUUGGACCCAAGCGCCAGUAGAGGGUGCCAAACACCAAAAAACAAGUAACAAGCGGACAUUACACUAUACUGUCCUUUUAAUCUGUUUGAGCGGGGCAUGUGCGUUAAUCACGUCAAAUAUUUUGACGUGAUUAAUUUAAAAAAUUAAUUACCACCCGUUAACGCGAUAAUUUUGACAGCCCUAAUUUAUUUAUGUAUUUAUUUUGAAUGUUUUUUUGUUAUUAUUAUUUUUUUUGAGUGCCUGUGUCCUUUUAAAAAGCAGUAUUUUUUAUUUCUACGAGUCCUGGGACCGAAACUAUUCAUCCUAUACAUAAAUGUCUUAUAUAAAGCAUCUGAACUACUAAACAUGGUACUAUUUGGGGACGACACCAACAUCUUUUGUUCAGGAAAGGACCUGAAAAGUCUCUCUAAGCACAGAUGCUAUUGACCCAAAAAAAUACUCAGUGGGCAUUUUCCUGGACCUAAAAAAAGCCUUUGAUACUGUUAACCACGAUAUCCUACUGGACAAACUAGAGAGACUUGGAAUUCGUGGCGUCGUUCUAAAUUGGGUACGUAACACAAACAUGCUAGACUAUGCGUCCCGGGCUGUUGGGGGACGGGUAUCGAUAAGCAUUUGCUUUUUCCCGUCUUUCCUUUGUCUGUCAUCGUCUUUUUCGGGCAAAUUAUUCCAUAGUUGUAACUGUCAAUGAUUCUGAAGAUGAUGACAAUGACAAUAAAUUCAUUCAUUCAAAAGCAUUCAUUCAAAAAUGUUUCAGUAAAACGUUACACAUUCUUGUCUAUUUGCCACAGUUAAUGUCGAGGCUUUGGGCCUCUUUUGACCUUGUUGUGAGUUUGUAAGGUUGUGGCUUCUGAUUAAACAAACUAGAUGCCAAUCAAAAUGUUUGUUCUUCUUCUUCCCCAAAUUAGAAUAGAUAAAGAAUCGAAUUGUUAAGCAAUAUCGAUAAUGCAAUCGGAAUCGUAAAAAUCCUAUCAAUAUGAUCACCCUGGAAUGACGUAGAGCCAGCAUGUGUGCUUUGAUACUUCUGUGCAUGCGGGUCAGUUUGCUCAGCCAGUGUCGGACUGCGAAUUAGUGCGUAUGCGUAAUACUUGAACGGGCUCAAUGGACAAAGGCAGUCUGAACGGGCACGCUAAAUAAACAGAUAUGACAAAAAAUUUGAGUUGUGCAUUAAGACCUGCAAUAUGAACCUACCCCAGGGGUUGACAACCUGUGUUUUAACAGCCCCAUGCUGCUCUUUAGCACUGCCCUAGUGGCUCCCUGGAGCAUUUCAAAAAUGUUUGAAGAUGGAAAAAGAUUUGAUAUGGUUCCCGUUGGAGGACAAAAAUGACACAAACAUUCCUAACGUUUUCCAAUGCUGUAAAAAUGUGUAGAUUUGUGUCAUAGCCUGCGACACACUUUUCUAUCAGCAGGGCGGGAUGCCAGGCAGGUGGCUAUGGUAAACAAACUGGCGGCGGAAAAGAAAAAUAUCUAAGGAGAUGAGAGGAUUCAACGUUUCUUGGACCGAAUCAUUUGCAUCCAUGGCCAAUAUGCAGAAGGAUUGCCUGAAUGUUCACUCUGUGGUGAGAAGUUGUCAGUGAGAGGAAAAAGUGCAAUUGCAUUACUUCUGAAGAACUUAGAGGAGCACAAAAAUAGAUUGAAGAAGUGGAUUGCAUCGCCAAACUCCACUACUGCUGCAAGUUUUGUUGCAACC